rnacentral:rRNA from 1 species
ACGUAGGUGGCAAGCGUUGUUCGGAAUUACUGGGCGUAAAGGGCGCGUAGGCGGCCUGUUAAGUCGAACGUGAAAUCCCCGGGCUCAACCCGGGAACUGCGUCCGAAACUGGCAGGCUCGAAUCCGGGAGAGGGAUGCGGAAUUCCAGGUGUAGCGGUGAAAUGCGUAGAUAUCUGGAGGAACAUCGGUGGCGAAGGCGGCAUCCUGGACCGGUAUUGACGCUGAGGCGCGAAAGCCAGGGGAGCAAACGGGA